AAUACUUUGGGAGGCCGAGGCAGGUGGAUCGCUUGAGACCAGGAGUUCCAGACCAGCCUGGACAACAUGGCAAAACCCUGUCUCUACUAAAAAUACAAUAAAUUAGCCAGGCAUGGUGGCACAUGCCUGUAGUCCCAGCUACUCAGGAGGCUGAAGUGGGAGGAUCAACUGAGCCAGGGAAGUCGAGGCUGCUGUGAGCUGUAAUGGCAGCACUGCACUCCAGCCUGGGCAACAAGAAUAAGACCCAGUCUCAAAAAAAGAGAAGCCAAUUCAUUAACUUGAAAAUAGGCAAAAAAAUGGGAAAGAAUCAAACAUUCAUCUUGCCUGCCCUAUACAAACUAUAUCUUGCAGCAUAAGUCACAAAGACACAUUAUGUCCCUCAUGAGGAAAGAUCACAAUACCACCUGUAGUAUUGCCAAAGGGACCCAGUGUGAAUCUGACUGAGCUUACGGAUUCAGCUGCUAAAAUGAAGGAAAAACAUAAGACAAUUAACAAGUUGAACUGUGCCAUAAGUAAGCCAUCAGCAAAAUCCAAGACUGUGUGAAAUUCUACAAGUCAAACUUCUUGGGCUCUUCAUCAUGAAACUGUCGGGUGCAGGGGCUCAUGCCUGUAAUCCUAACACUGACACAGGAACCCAGGAGUUCCAGGUUGCAAAUGAGCUAUGACCGUGCCACUGCACUCCAGCUGGAGGAGACAGAGUGAGACCCUAUCUCUAAAAAAUAAUAAUAAUAAUGAUAAUAAUGUAGUAAUAAUAAUAGUUCUCUCCUU